UGUCUCCUGGUAGCGCCUCCAGCCUCUGGACACUAUGCUGACAGACACAACAAACCUUCUUGCCACAGCUCACGUUGACGUGCCGUCCUGGAUGACCUGAGCCACUUGUGUGGGUUGUAGAGUCCGUCUCAUGCUACCACGAGUGUGAAAGCACCACCAACAUUCAAAACUGACCAAAACAUCAGCCAGACAGCAUAGGUACUGAGAAGUGGUCUGUGGUCCCCACCUGCAGAACCACUCCUUUAUUGAGUGUGUCUUGCUAAUUGCCAAUAAUUUCCACCUGUUGUCUAUUCCAUUUGCACAACAGCAGGUGAAAUUGAUUGUUAAUCACUGUUGCUGCCUAAGUGGACAGUUUGAUUUCACAGAAGUUUGAUUUACUUGGAGUUAUAUUGUGUUGUUUAAGUGUUCCCUUUAUUUUUUUGAGCAGUGUAUUUAGUAACCCUGAA